rnacentral:lncRNA from 1 species
UAUCUACCAAAAGCUCACAUAUAAGAAAAUGCAACAAGGUUCAGAGGAGAAACAAUUGGAUUGUGAGAAUCUUGAUCUGAUCAGGAACAGAGCCAGCCUUCUAUGGACUAAACCCUCUGAAACCCUGAGCCCUUAAAUAAACUUUUCCUCCUCUAUAAUUGUUCUGGUUGGGUCUUUUAGUCACUGCGGUGAAACAGGUGACUAAAACAAGUGGGAAGAGAGCAAAGGUAGGAGAGCUGCAGGGAGACGCACUUCUUUAAACGUGAGCAGAUGAAUGCUGCAGUUUCAAGGUUGUCCCUGUGGAAUUGAACCAAAUGCUUCUCCCUGCAGAGGCUGCAUAUUUAGUUGCCAGUACAUGGGGGGAGGGAGACAUAGCUACACCUUACAUAUGUUUCAGUUAAGUUAAAAGAUUGAUGUGUAUUUAUUUUGAGGCGAUUGUUGAAAUACCUUCCUUGUGUGUAAUGGAAUUUUCUCCUUUUGGCAAUGCCAAAGGCAGUUCACUGGGUUACAUAUGUUGUCAGUGAAAUUUCCCACAUGCUUCUAUGAAACAUUUGUCUUUUCCAGAUGGCCUGUGUAAGCCCAGUUGUUCCUUCAAACAAAUUUACAGUUAUGACAAAUGUGUUCUCUCUCUCUAGACUAGAUCAGAGUUCUUUUUUUGGAAAAAGAAAUGGUUUCCAACUAAUCUAAAGGGGACAGAUUUUUCAAUGGAAAGUGGAUACUAAACUCUGUUCUCAGGUUGAAAUUUGCUGAGAUUUGGGUGUAGAGGAAUCAAUAGGUUAAUAUGUUUUAUCCCCAUCUCUACACAUAAUAUAUGCGUGGUUUCAUGUUUUCUUCCAUUAAAAAAAAAUCCCAAACACAAAAGUUAC